ACACACACACACACACACACACACACACACACACACACACACACACACACACACACACACGUUUUUUUUUAGCACACUUCCACUUUCUCUGUGAUCAACAAUGCACGAUGUUUGCGUUUUACACCACUUCUUUUCUUUGCUGAAUCCAAAUGAGGCUAUACCGAAGCAAAUAAAUGAUUAAAUGAAAAAAAGAAAUGCCUGUCAGAUGUAAGCAUGACCAAACACAAGUACAGCAACAUCAGAACGUGAACUGUGCCUCUAGAAAAUAAUAAUAUGCCUAUGCGGUAAAUUUGAAAAAGGCACUCUGACAGUAAUGGCAGAAAAUAGAUGUUUCUGGAAUAUAGAUUGCCAGAUUUGUGAUUGUCAACUGUAUGCAUUUCCAUGUAUAGUUCACAUAACACACUUACUCUUGGUGGAUAAACCACUUGUUACUGACACUAGUUAUGGGAGCUUGCAUGUGAGAGAAAGACCAGUGAUGGAACUAAUACAUUGUAUAAAAGUGCACAAGCCAAUGGGAGAUGUCUCACUACUAUGGCAGAUGGGAUGAUAUUGCACAGCCACACCACUGUGUCACACCAGAUAUGAGGGCCCAACAUACACUCAACACAGUUCAGAUGUAAUGUUGCUGCACCACUGUGUCUUGCCAAAUGUGAGAACAAAAUGAACACAUACAUAGUUUUAGAAGCUGUGGUGUUGCACUACCACAUUAUGCCAGAUGUGAAAACAAAAUACACACACACACACACACACACACAAGUUUUUUUUUAGCACACUUCCACUUUCUCUGUGAUCAACAAUGCACGAUGUUUGCGUUUUACACCACUUCUUUUCUUUGCUGAAUCCAAAUGAGGCUAUACCGAAGCAAAUAAAUGAUUAAAUGAAAAAAAGAAAUGCCUGUCAGAUGUAAGCAUGACCAAACACAAGUACAGCAACAUCAGAACGUGAACUGUGCCUCUAGAAAAUAAUAAUAUGCCUAUGCGGUAAAUUUGAAAAAGGCACUCUGACAGUAAUGGCAGAAAAUAGAUGUUUCUGGAAUAUAGAUUGCCAGAUUUGUGAUUGUCAACUGUAUGCAUUUCCAUGUAUAGUUCACAUAACACACUUACUCUUGGUGGAUAAACCACUUGUUACUGACACUAGUUAUGGGAGCUUGCAUGUGAGAGAAAGACCAGUGAUGGAACUAAUACAUUGUAUAAAAGUGCACAAGCCAAUGGGAGAUGUCUCACUACUAUGGCAGAUGGGAUGAUAUUGCACAGCCACACCACUGUGUCACACCAGAUAUGAGGGCCCAACAUACACUCAACACAGUUCAGAUGUAAUGUUGCUGCACCACUGUGUCUUGCCAAAUGUGAGAACAAAAUGAACACAUACAUAGUUUUAGAAGCUGUGGUGUUGCACUACCACAUUAUGCCAGAUGUGAAAACAAAAUACACACACACACACACAAGUUUUUUUUUAGCACACUUCCACUUUCUCUGUGAUCAACAAUGCACGAUGUUUGCGUUUUACACCACUUCUUUUCUUUGCUGAAUCCAAAUGAGGCUAUACCAAGCAAAUAAAUGAUUAAAUGAAAAAGAAAUGCCUGUCAGAUGUAAGCAUGACCAAACACAAGUACAGCAACAUCAGAACGUGAACUGUGCCUCUAGAAAAUAAUAAUAUGCCUAUGCGGUAAAUUUGAAAAAGGCACUCUGACAGUAAUGGCAGAAAAUAGAUGUUUCUGGAGAAUAUAGAUUGCCAGAUUUGUGAUUGUCAACUGUAUGCAUUUCCAUGUAUAGUUCACAUAACACACUUACUCUUGAUGGAUAAACCACUUGUUACUGACACUAGUUAUGGGAGCUUGCAUGUGAGAGAAAGACCAGUGAUGGAACUAAUACAUUGUAUAAAAGUGCACAAGCCAAUGGGAGAUGUCUCACUACUAUGGCAGAUGGGAUGAUAUUGCACAGCCACACCACUGUGUCACACCAGAUAUGAGGGCCCAACAUACACUCAACACAGUUCAGAUGUAAUGUUGCUGCACCACUGUGUCUUGCCAAAUGUGAGAACAAAAUGAACACAUACAUAGUUUUAGAAGCUGUGGUGUUGCACUACCACAUUAUGCCAGAUGUGAAAACAAAAUACACACACACACACACACACACACAAGUUUUUUUUUAGCACACUUCCACUUUCUCUGUGAUCAACAAUGCACGAUGUUUGCGUUUUACACCACUUCUUUUCUUUGCUGAAUCCAAAUGAGGCUAUACCAAGCAAAUAAAUGAUUAAAUGAAAAAAAGAAAUGCCUGUCAGAUGUAAGCAUGACCAAACACAAGUACAGCAACAUCAGAACGUGAACUGUGCCUCUAGAAAAUAAUAAUAUGCCUAUGCGGUAAAUUUGAAAAGGCACUCUGACAGUAAUGGCAGAAAAUAGAUGUUUCUGGAAUAUAGAUUGCCAGAUUUGUGAUUGUCAACUGUAUGCAUUUCCAUGUAUAGUUCACAUAACACACUUACUCUUGGUGGAUAAACCACUUGUUACUGACACUAGUUAUGGGAGCUUGCAUGUGAGAGAAAGACCAGUGAUGGAACUAAUACAUUGUAUAAAAGUGCACAAGCCAAUGGGAGAUGUCUCACUACUAUGGCAGAUGGGAUGAUAUUGCACAGCCACACCACUGUGUCACACCAGAUAUGAGGGCCCAACAUACACUCAACACAGUUCAGAUGUAAUGUUGCUGCACCACUGUGUCUUGCCAAAUGUGAGAACAAAAUGAACACAUACAUAGUUUUAGAAGCUGUGGUGUUGCACUACCACAUUAUGCCAGAUGUGAAAACAAAAUACACACACACACA
rnacentral:lncRNA from 1 species